AAGUCGUAACAAGGUUUCCGUAGGUGAACCUGCGGAAGGAUCAUUACUGGUUAGGGUUCUCAUCUCGAGCCCGAACCUCCAACCUUUGUAUAAAACACUUUGUUGCUUUGGCAGGUCCCGUCUGAAAAUCCUUUCACCGGGAUCGCGACCGCCGGGGGGCGUUUAGUACCUCUGGCCAGUGCUUGCCGAUAGCCUAUUCAAAUUCUUUUAUUUAAAAUUCAUGUCUGAAAAAAUUAUAACUAAAAUUAUAAUUUAAAA
rnacentral:misc_RNA from 1 species